CGUCCCUCCCGUCAAACUCUGUUACAAAAAUGCCUUGCUGGCUAACGGUGAGUGACGUGGCAGGUGCUGACUUGGCCAAACACGCUUAUGUGGACUGACAGACGAUCCCUGACUAUAUUACAGGGACCAAAACCAAAAACAAAAAGGUAAAGAGGGACGAAAUUAAAAACACCUAAAUAUGAAAUUUAGGUGGCCUUUCCUGACUAUAUUACAGGGACCAAAACCAAAAACGAAAAGUUACAGAAGGACGAAAUUAAAAAUCACGAAGUUAAAAAUUUGAAAUUAAAAACCCUUGUUGUUUCCAUCUUCUUCCUCUCUCUUUGCCAUAUUCUUCUUCUUCUUCUUUUGUGCUUCUGAAAUCACAUGUCUGGCAACAAUGUCUUCAUCAUCCAUUGUUUUUUUCUUCAAUUGAAU
rnacentral:lncRNA from 1 species